AUUGAACGCUGGCGGCAUGCCUUACACAUGCAAGUCGAACGGUAACAGGUCUUCGGACGCUGACGAGUGGCGAACGGGUGAGUAAUACAUCGGAACGUGCCCAGUCGUGGGGGAUAACUACUCGAAAGAGUAGCUAAUACCGCAUACGAUCUGAGGAUGAAAGCGGGGGACCUUCGGGCCUCGCGCGAUUGGAGCGGCCGAUGGCAGAUUAGGUAGUUGGUGGGAUAAAAGCUUACCAAGCCGACGAUCUGUAGCUGGUCUGAGAGGACGACCAGCCACACUGGGACUGAGACACGGCCCAGACUCCUACGGGAGGCAGCAGUGGGGAAUUUUGGACAAUGGGCGAAAGCCUGAUCCAGCAAUGCCGCGUGCAGGAUGAAGGCCUUCGGGUUGUAAACUGCUUUUGUACGGAACGAAAAAGCUUCUCCUAAUACGAGAGGCCCAUGACGGUACCGUAAGAAUAAGCACCGGCUAACUACGUGCCAGCAGCCGCGGUAAUACGUAGGGUGCGAGCGUUAAUCGGAAUUACUGGGCGUAAAGCGUGCGCAGGCGGUUAUGUAAGACAGAUGUGAAAUCCCCGGGCUCAACCUGGGAACUGCAUUUGUGACUGCAUGGCUAGAGUACGGUAGAGGGGGAUGGAAUUCCGCGUGUAGCAGUGAAAUGCGUAGAUAUGCGGAGGAACACC
rnacentral:rRNA from 1 species